ACGGAAGGCAGCAGCUAAGAAUAUUUCGCAAUGGACGAAAGUCUGACGGAGCGACGCCGCGCGAGCGAUGAAGGUCGGAAGAUUGUAAAGUUCUUUUAUAACUGAGGAAUAAGUAUUCUGAGAGAAACGGAGUAUGGUGACUGUAGGUUAUGAAUAAGCAACGGCUAAUUACGUGCCAGCAGCCGCGGUAACACGUAAGUUGCGAGCGUUGUUCGGAUUUAUUGGGUUUAAAGGACGUGUAGGCGGUUCUGUAAGCUUGGUGUGAAAGGCGGGAGCUCAACUCCCGAAUUGCGUUGAGAACUGCAGGACUUGAGUUACUGGGGAGCAGUCAGAAUUCCAGGUGUAGGGGUGAAGUCUGUAGAGAUCUGGAAGAAUACCAAUGGCGAAGGCAGGCUGCUAACAGAUGACUGACGCUGAGGCGUGAAGGUGCGGGGAGCAAACAGGAUUAGAUACCCCUGGUA
rnacentral:rRNA from 1 species